rnacentral:rRNA from 1 species
UACAGAGGUCUCAAGCGUUGUUCGGAUUCAUUGGGCGUAAAGGGUGCGUAGGCGGUGCGGUAAGUCGGGUGUGAAAUCUCGGAGCUUAACUCCGAAACUGCAUUCGAUACUGCCGUGCUUGAGGACUGGAGAGGAGACUGGAAUUUAUGGUGUAGCAGUGAAAUGCGUAGAUAUCGUAAGGAAGACCAGUGGCGAAGGCGAGUCUCUGGACAGUUACCGACGCUGAGGCACGAAGGUCAGGGGAGCAAACGGG